CUCAUAGGUCGCGAUACUGCUGUACAAGGUGCUAUUUUACUGUCAGAACUUCUUAAAUUGAUAUUAUACAAAAAAAUUAAAGAUUUUAAAAAAGGUAGGACAUAAUUUUUAGAUCGUGCAUGUAUUCUUAUUACCCAUAACCUGCCUGGUUUACUUACUUAACACAAUGAUGACAUAAUCCCAAUUUAUUUGAAGCAGGUUUAGCGAUAACACUGGCAGUAUUUCUGACAAUAGUAUCCAUAACUGGACUUCUCUACAUAUUCACCAUUCAACAUCCUGUCUUAAGAUUGGAAUAUAUUUUAGACAGUAUGAUGUUAAUUCUUCUGCUCGGAGAAG
rnacentral:misc_RNA from 1 species